GUUUUUUUCUUCCUCUUCACACGUCUUUUACUUCUUCUUUUUUGUUUUGUUUUGUUUUGUUCCUUACGGUUCUUUCUUCGUUUUGCAAGUCUUUUGGAAGCAAACCAUGAUCCAGUCAUCAGUAUUCUAAUCUAUGUUAUUGUCUUCAAGCGUCCUCAUGGGUUCCUUGCUCCAAUCAUCACUCUCUUACUCAUGUUGCUCUUCUAGAGUUUGGUUUCUAAAUUGAUUAUUCAAGGUUUUUUAUGUUCAUGCGACUUUUAACUCAACUUGGCUCUGUUAAUUUUAGAUUGUGGAGGAGGAUGCUUUUAUCGGUUGGUGACAGUUUUGAUGGCUUGUAUUUGUCCUCUCUGCGUCGCCUACGUGCUUAAAAAGGGUAAAGUUGGUUCUUCUCAUUGAGGGAGACACUGGUUCCGGUAAGACUACACAAUUACCACAAUAUCUCCAUGGAGCUGGUUUGAAAGGAAAGAGCAAAGAGCAAGUUGAGGCGCUGUCAAAAAGAGUUGUCUCAUCGUGCGGCUGUGCCAGGAUGUACAAGGAUGGUAGCAUCAUUCCAUUAGAUGAUUCUUUGGCUUUUGCUGCAAAUUUUUCACACAUGAUGGGAUAUGGUAGUCCCAGAUGAAAGAGCUCAUGAGGCUUUAUUUCACCAUGCCGUUUAGUAUGUUGGUUGUGGAGAGAGAGAGAGAGAGAGAGAGAGAGAGAGAGAGAGAGAGAGAGAUGAAAUGGCUGAGGAUAGAGAGCUAUUAGAACCAGACCAGUAGCUACAACACAAAGCAAGCCGCAGGAAAUAUCAAGUUACUCUUACCGAAGCAAGCACAUGCAUUGUAUGGAGAAUUAGGGUUCCUGGAGCUUCGAACUCAAAGCCAUGGGUCCUUAUCUAUCUAUGGUCCAAUUUGCUCGCUCAGGAUUGAUAGAAUUGCUCGUGUUGCCUUCGAGACUGCUCGGAAACG